ensembl:lncRNA
UUUGGGGAGACAAGUUCAAAGUUCUGAAAUUCUAACCUUUUAGGAAGAUUUCUGGACCCUGAAAUCUUGCCAGAGACAAACUAUGAAACCCUAGAGAGCGGUAGCAAGGAGAAUAGUAACAAGUAGUGUAAACUCUGAGAGCUGUGAAGUGUGAUGCGAAAGUUACUGAUUGCCAGGCUGCUGGAAUUUAUGGAGGGUGGGCAUUGCGAGCUGGAGGAGGGGAAGGGUGAGUCUCUGUGAGCUGUUUUCGAGGAAUGAAGGGGGAAUGAAGUAGAAUAAUGAAUAUGGCAAGAAGCAAGCAGG